rnacentral:rRNA from 1 species
GACGGGGACCCGCACAAGCGGUGGAGCAUGUGGUUUAAUUCGAUGCAACGCGAAAAACCUUACCAGGAGGUUAGAUCUUUCUUAACAGAAAGGCGCAGUUCGGCUGGACCUCACACAGGUGCUGCAUGGCUGUCGUCAGCUCGUGUCGUGAGAUGUUGGGUUAAGUCCCGCAACGAGCGUAACCCUCAUCCUUAGUUACCAGCGGGUAAUGCCGGGCACUUUAAGGAAACUGCCGGUGAUAAACCGGAGGAAGGUGGGGAUGAUGUCAAGUCAGCACGGCCCUUAUGGGGUGGGCUACACACGUGCUACAAUGGCGACCACA